rnacentral:rRNA from 1 species
GACAGAGGGUGCAAACGUUGCUCGGAAUCACUGGGCGUAAAGGGCGUGUAGGCGGGAAGGAAAGUCAGAUGUGAAAUCCCCAGGCUCAACCUGGGAACUGCAUUUGAAACUCCCUUUCUUGAGUACCGGAGAGGAAAGUGGAAUUCCUGGUGUAGAGGUGAAAUUCGUAGAUAUUGGGAAGAACACCGGUGGCGAAGGCGGCGAGCUGGUCCAUUACUGACGCUGAGGCGCGACAGCGUGGGGAGCAAACAGG